CCUACGGGGGGCAGCAGUAGGGAAUCUUCCGCAAUGGGCGAAAGCCUGAUGGAGUAACGCCGCGUGGGUGAAGAAGGUCUUCGGAUCGUAAAACCCUGUUGUUAGAGAAGAAAGUGCGUGAGAGUAACUGUGCACGUUUCGACGGUAUCUAACCAGAAAGCCACGGCUAACUACGUGCCAGCAGCCGCGGUAAUACGUAGGUGGCAAGCGUUAUCCGGAUUUAUUGGGCGUAAAGGGAACGCAGGCGGGUUUUUAAGUCUGAUGUGAAAGCCUUCGGCUUAACCGGGGUAGGUCAUUGGAAACUGGAAGACUUGAGUGCAGAAGAGGAGAGUGGAACUCCAUGUGUAGCGGUGAAAUGCGUAGAUAUAUGGAGGAACACCAGUGGCGAAGGCGGCUUUCUGGUCUGUAACUGACGCUGAGGUUCGAAAGCGUGGGUAGCAAACAGGAUUAGAUACCCUUGUAGUC
rnacentral:rRNA from 1 species